rnacentral:rRNA from 1 species
AUUGAACGCUAGCGGGAUGCUUUACACAUGCAAGUCGAACGGAGUGGCGGACGGGUGAGUAAUAUAUCGGAACGUGCCCAGUAGCGGGGGAUAACUACUCGAAAGAGUGGCUAAUACCGCAUAAUAUUGGAUGGGCCGAUGUCGGAUUAUCUAGUUGGUGGGGUAACGGCUCACAAAGGCAACGCUCCCUAGCUGGUUUGAGAGGACGACCAGCCACACUGGGACUGAGACACGGGCCAGACUCCGACGGGAGGCAGCAGUGGGGAAUUUUGGACAAUGGGGGAAACCCUGAUCCAGCCAUGCCGCGUGUAUGAUGAAGGCCUUCGGGUUGUAAAGUACUUUUGGCAGAGAAGCGGUAUCUGCAGAAUAAGCACCGGCUAACUACGUGCCAGCAGCCGCGGUAAUUC